CAGUUUCACUUGAGUGAUGGAUAGCAUAUCUACUCAUCAUUGUAGUAAAGAUGUAGACUCCACGCUAAUCACGUCCUCGUUGUCCACCAGAAACAGCUCUGCUGCAAGCCGAGCUCCGCCCCCACACCUAGGUUUCAUCGGAUUGAGCAUCGAUAGGUGUGACGUUGAGCUCGUUUGUAGUCCAGUUCCACAUCCAACCACACGUUCAGCGUCGACCUUCACUUCUGCUCUGCUGCUGCCAGGAUCCAGACUCCUUCAGGGGAUAUUCUGCUACAGCUCAUGGACCCGCUAUCAUCUUAUAAUGAAAAUCUUACGACCGGGCCUCAAUGCCAAAGGUUUCAGUAACCUUUCUACUAUUUCAAUCACUCUUUAAACCAAUUGUGGGCAUAAAGAUGGUCCAAAUCUGGCACUCCAGCAAAUAAAGUGCUUUAUAAAUAAAGUUGGCUCAGCUUGACUUGGCUAAAUUAGACCCAC
ensembl:lncRNA